rnacentral:rRNA from 1 species
AUUGAACGCUGGCGGCAUGCCUUACACAUGCAAGUCGAACGGUAACGCGGGGCAACCUGGCGACGAAUGGCGAACGGGUGCGUAAUGCAUCGGAACGUGCCCAGUAGUGGGGGAUAGCCCGGCGAAAGCCGGAUUAAUACCGCAUACGACCUACGGGUGAAAGGGGGGGAUCGCAAGACCUCUCGCUAUUGGAGCGGCCGAUGUCAGAUUAGGUAGUUGGUGGGGUAAAGGCAUACCAAGCCGACGAUCUGUAGCUGGUCUGAGAGGACGACCAGCCACGCUGGGACGGAGAGACGGCCCAGACUCUUACGGGAGGCAGCAGUGGCGAAUUUUGGACAAUGGGCGCAAGCCUGAUCCAGCCAUGCCGCGUGCGGGAAGAAGGCCUUCGGGUUGUCAACCGCUUGUGUCAGGGAAGAAAUCUUCUGGGUUAAUACCUCGGGAGGAUGACGGUACCUGAAGAAUAAGCACCGGCUAACUACGUGCCAGCAGCCGCGGUAACAC